rfam:Candidatus Gottesmanbacteria bacterium RIFCSPLOWO2_01_FTLL_49_10 rifcsplowo2_01_scaffold_22634, whole genome shotgun sequence.
GGAUCCGUGGUGUAGCCUGGUUAACACGCGUCCCUGUCAAGGACGAGAUCACCGGUUCAAAUCCGGCCGGAUCCG